rnacentral:lncRNA from 1 species
ACAGCCCCUCAGUUAGACAGCAGGAAGGAGGGCUUCCACUCUAGUCUUUGUUUCUGAGAUAACUCUAGCUGAGAAAAAAAUUUUAAAUGAAUCUCAUAUUUCCCAUUUCCCAGGACUCCGUGAUGUGAAGGGAUAGGAGUCUAGAUGUUUAAUUUUCGUCAAUGUUGUUUCUUUCCUAUAAAACCAGAAAAAUCCUUUGUGAAAAAUUGCACAGAUACACUAAUGACCUUCUCAGCUAGAACAUCUUCCAACUCAAAGCUCCCCUGUGGCCCUUUCUCAGAAUCAUCUUCUGUUUUCCCACCUCAGGUUCUGCCUUGAAAAAUUUUAGGGGGUAAAAAUUUUUUCUGGUGAAUACAUCUUCCUCCUCCAAAUCCUCUCCCUAUUGAAGGUUUAUUUCAAAAAGUUGGUUUCAGAGGAAAGGAGAAAGCAGAACACCGAACCACACAUAUACACAACACUCCUCCACAUUUCCCAACUCAAAAAUAAAGCACCGUUGAAUGAGCUCACUGCGGAACAUCCAAAUAUUUACCAAAAGGAAAUGAUUCUACAUAUCAAGUAGAAGAAAUGCCUAGGAGAACAGAUUCUGACGAGAUUUGCCGCUGUGUGCACUGGCAAAAACAACUUAACCAGACAAACACCAGCCCACAAAUAAUGGCAGUUACUCCCAGGCCAGUGGCAAUUCUGUAGGAGGAAUGGUUUUCUUUAUUUGGCUUCCAUUAUUUUCCAAGAGACUUAGUAUUAUAUUUAAAAAAUAAAUUAGAAGCUAGAAUUGAUCAGGGACCAUUAUGGAGAUGGCUGCUCUGAACCCAGACUUGAAGAUAGGUCCACAGAGGCAGUCAAUUUCCUCUGUUAAAACACUCCUUUCAGUACAAAAAAGUGCGCAAUUUUAUGCCACAAAAAAACAUACUGUUGUGACAGAAAACACUAACUAGAUGUCCAAGGGGGGAAAGUUCUGUUGUGGAAUCACGAAGGAAUGUUAAAUACUCACUGUGUUGAUAUACUAUGAAUCCAGAGGAGGCGAGAAGGCGAAAUGAACGCUAGGUGCCAUCAGAAAAGUAAUUCGCAAAUAUUUGUUUUGUGAUAAAGCUAGUGUUUUUUUAAAAAGUUGUUCUUGAUGGUAUAAAUAACUAGAAAUGCAAAACAAAGACAUCCCCACAGGAUGUCAGCUUUUAAAAUACUAAUCAAGAGCAAUUUUCAUAUAAUGUGAAAACUAACAUUGAGAAGAAAAAGGAGAAAGGGCAAACGAAGUAAAUAUGAAAAUUUUUCUUUGAAAUAUUGAGGAGAAAGUCAAUGCAGUUUCUAUAAAAUACAAAUUACAUUUAAACGAUAUUUCUGAUAUUUGAUAAAUUUGGUGUAUUUUAGGAAACACAGUCCCAUUUGUACAGCCAAUUUGCUUUUUGGAAAGUUCCUGUAAGAGACAGUUACAUCCACCCAGAGCCUCACAACCUGUUUUUACCCCUUUUAACGUUGAAUAUCACACUUUACAGAGAAAACAGACUACACGACUCAAGAGCUUAAUUAUAAGAUUUCCAAACGUUUCCAGGAAAUCUAGGGAACCAUAUUUUCCAAGUCUACAACCUAAACCAGAGGCAGGACCCGGGAGAGGAGUGGGGAACGUUUCCUACGUGAAGGGACCGUUGGGAUUUGAGGCCGGACAAUUACUCGUGGUGUGGGAACAUCCUGCACAUUACCACCAAAAGCCAAGAACAACUCCUGGUCAAUGGUGAGAACCAAAAUCCUCUCUCCACAUUCCAAACCACUGUAGGGGUGGGUGAUGUCUUCAAAGUCCUUGGAGGGACAAAGAAGCUUUCUGUGCAAGAUCUGAACUCCCCCAUCUCGAAAGGUGUCCCACAUUCAUCACUACCGAAGGAUUCA